rnacentral:rRNA from 1 species
CCUACGGGCGACAGCAGUGGGGAAUAUUGCACAAUGGGGGAAACCCUGAUGCAGCGAUGCCGCGUGAGUGAAGAAGUAAUUCGGUAUGUAAAGCACUAUCAGCAGGGAAGAAAAUGACGGUACUUGAGUAAGAACCCACGGCUAACUACGUACCAGCAGCCGCGGUAAUACGUAGGGGGCAAGGGUUAACCGGAUUUACGGGGUGUAAAGGGAGCGUAGACGGCAGUGCAAGUCUGGAGUGAAAGGCGCGGGCUCAACCCGCGGACUGCUCUGGAAACUGUACGGCUGGAGUGCAGGAGAGGGACGUAGAAUUCCUGGUGUAGCGGUGAAAUGCGUAGAUAUUAGGAGGAACACCAGUGGCGAAGGCGGCUUACUGGACUGUAACUGACGUUGAGGCUCGAAAGCGUGGGGAGCAAACAGGAUUAGAUACCCGUGUAGUC